GUGGCGGCGGUGAAGCCGCCGACUGCUGGUGGUGCGCACAAGUUCAGUGCUCAACUUCCCGCGUUUAACGAGAACCGGGAUCCCUUUGGAGAGGCCCUCGGGAGCUGGCGGCGGGGCUGGGAGUGGCGUGGCUCCUGUUUGGCUUUGGCCAUCCUCUGAUUUCUACCUUAUUAGGUGGAUUAGUAAGAAGCAGCCUGGCAGACACCAUCUUCUCAGAAUGGCUCUCUGGAGAUCUGCUGAGAUUAUUGGGAGGCUGGAACUCAUCCAUGGCAUGGUGAGCCUGGUCCAGCCAUGCAAACAGAUGACAUUAUGACCAGGGGAUGUCAGAGUCCCUGGAUGACGUCAAGGAAGAGUGCUGCCUACCACCCCAGUCCACCUACUACCUCUGGGCUGUUAGAUUUGAUAUGCUGCAUCCCAAAUUAGCUUCCACUGGUGGUCAAAAGGAGCUGUGCUUGAAGUUUUGCUCCUAGUCUAUGACUACCAGAAACCAAAGGUUAUUAUGAAAUCCACACUCCUAAUUCUGGCUGUGACAAGUGGUAAAUGGCCAGCUCGCCUGUCUACUUAAUUGAUAAGUUCUUAAGUACCCUUGGAAGAAAACUUCAGGACUACAGAAGUCUGUCUGGCAAUAAAAUUCCUUUUCAGGGUAUUUCUCAGUUUUGAUAGAAAUCUGAACACACCAGCUCAACCCUCACACCCAAUGUAAGUGUGUCUUCUCUAUGCUCCUGACCUCCAUCACAGCCCUUACCACCAGCUACUGAAAUAACCCACUUAUAUACUAGUUUCUUCUACCUGGCUGCCAUGGGUUGGUAUUUAAUAAAUGUGUGUUGAAGACAGAGCAAUAUAUGAUGGAUGAUAGAUAGGGAGAGAGGGAGGGAAGGAGGGAAAGAAAAAAAAAUGUGUGUUGAACAGAAUGAAAUAAUAAGAAAAAGAAGCAGAAGGUAAGGCAACAGUGGGGUCUAAAGUAGGUUAUUUCAAAAGAUCAUCUUAAGAUGUGGAAGGAGAAACAAGUGGUACAACCCAGUGGUCUGACACUAGGGAGAUGAAAGAAGACUCGAGACCAAUACAAGGUCAUUGUUUUCAUAGUUUUCGUGAUGGGAGUCUACCAUCAAUGCAAAGUUACUCAGAUACUGAAAUUCGAUUGUGAAAAACAGACACGAACACAAUGUGCUGUUAUUUAAAAAUCACUCAUUUGGAAAUAAAUAAAUCCAAUAUUGUCAUAAACAUUGUAAGCUGUUCACCCUCAAUUGUGAGCAAGUAAAUUGAUUAGCACCAUACUCUAAAUUUGAAAUGAAGACUAUGUUGGAAAACAGUUAUUAAAAGACGUAUUGCGACAGAGUUCUGAGAACUGGCCAAUGAAUUCUGGCCAAAAGACUAGACAGUCUACUGUUUGACGAAUGUAUAAUACAGCAUAAUUUUAUUUGUACAAUUGUUUCAUGAAACUAAAAUACCCUAAAUUAGAGAAGGUUAAUUAAGAGUGUGGCUCUGGUACAGAAAUGCAGCUACCAAAACAAAGCUGGGGAUGGAGGAAUAUCAAAAUGAAGCCCCUUUUUUCUCUGAUAGUGGGGUGUUUUCAUCUAUAAAAAGAUCUUAAGAAAAUGGUGGUUCAUUCAGAAGGUAGUGUUUAUAGACAGCUAUUAUGUGAGCAAAAAUUGCUUAUUUCAAAGGAGAUCUAAUAUCCCUAUAUAUUAAUAUUAAUAUGCUUUAAAUCAGCAGCCUUUUAUUUUUAUUAUUAAUAGACCAACUAUGAUGUUACUAGGAAAAAAGAUAUCCGAGUUCCCAAUUAAUGAUAUUCAUCCUUGGAAAUAUACUUAUCUGAGGUGUAUUAGUUUCCUGACACUGCUAUAACAAAUUACCACAAACACGGUGCCUUAAAACAACAGUAAGUUAUUCUCUCACAGUUCUGGAGUCUAAAAGUCCGAAAUCUAGGUGCUGACAGGGCCACCUGUGCUUCUAUCUGGAGGCUCGAGGAAGGAUUCCUUCUAGGCCUCUUCUAGCAUUUGGUAGCUAUCAGCAUUAUUUGUGAUUGCAUCAUUGUAAUAUUUGCCUCGGUCUUCACAUGGCCAUCUCUGUGUGUCUCUUAUAAAGACACUUGUCAUCAGAUUUAGCGUCCACCUGGAUAAUCCAGAAUGAUCUCAUCUCAAGGUCCUUAAUUUAACAACAUUCACAAAGACCCUUUUUCCAAACAAGUUUACAUUCAGAGAUUAUGGACAUGGACAUAUUUUGUGGGGGACCACUAUAGAAGGUCUAGCCCAAGGACAAUGGAAUGAAUGGUUCCCUAAAAGAGCUACUAGAACAUAGCAGGUAAUAAACGUCAGUUCUUCUUUUUCUGUCCUUCCCUCUCUUCACCUCUGUUUUGCAGAACAGUACCUGGACUCUGCUGUCUUUGGCAAGAUCUCUAGGGGUGACACUGUGUCCCAAGAGACAGGGCUUGGGGCUGUCACAGAGCCAGGGGGUAGUUGAGUUGGACAGACUUUAGAGAUGACUUGGACACCCUUCACCUGAGGCAUGUUGCAUCCCUCCCCUGAGGGUCACCCAGCAACUGCCUGAAAGCCUCCAAGCCCAUCUUUUUGCUUUUGGUCAGCUCUAAAUACUCCAUAUAUAUCAGUAUUGUCAGGCCUAAAAUUUCAAGUGCUGCUUUGACAUCUUUGAGCCUCACAGGGCCCCAAAGACCUAACAGUGAGUUCCCCUAUCCUUGCCAGAUAUGCCUGCCACCCAGUGGAAAAGGCUCCCUAUCCAGCUAGUUCCCUAUUCAGCUGGACCAGCUGCAUUCCAGCUGGUCCUCAACCUAAUGGGUUUUACUUCCCUGCCAGCCCAUGAAAUUAUUCAACCAAGCCAAUCACAUCCUCCUGUGGGAACCAGGGGGCACCCUAUCCUCUUCUCACUAAAAAGCCUGUCUUCAUAGCCCAUGCUGGUUCACUCUACUCCUGUGGUGUGAGUAUAGGUGACUAAUAAACC